rnacentral:rRNA from 1 species
GACGAACGCUGGCGGCGUGCUUAACACAUGCAAGUCGAACGGAAAGGCCCUGCUUUUGUGGGGUGCUCGAGUGGCGAACGGGUGAGUAACACGUGAGUAACCUGCCCUUGACUUUGGGAUAACUUCAGGAAACUGGGGCUAAUACCGGAUAGGAGCUCCUGCUGCAUGGUGGGGGUUGGAAAGUUUCGGCGGUUGGGGAUGGACUCGCGGCUUAUCAGCUUGUUGGUGGGGUAGUGGCUUACCAAGGUUUUGACGGGUAGCCGGCCUGAGAGGGUGACCGGCCACAUUGGGACUGAGAUACGGCCCAGACUCCUACGGGAGGCAGCAGUGGGGAAUAUUGCACAAUGGGCGGAAGCCUGAUGCAGCAACGCCGCGUGCGGGAUGACGGUCUUCGGGUUGUAAACCGCUUUCGCCUGUGACGAAGCGUGAGUGACGGUAAUGGGUAAAGAAGCACCGGCUAACUACGUG